AGCGAACGCUGGCGGCAGGCCUAACACAUGCAAGUCGAACGAACUCUUCGGAGUUAGUGGCGGACGGGUGAGUAACACGUGGGAACGUGCCUUUAGGUUCGGAAUAACUCAGGGAAACUUGUGCUAAUACCGAAUGUGCCCUUCGGGGGAAAGAUUUAUCGCCUUUAGAGCGGCCCGCGUCUGAUUAGCUAGUUGGUUGGGGUAAUGGCCCACCAAGGCGACGAUCAGUAGCUGGUCUGAGAGGAUGACCAGCCACAUUGGGACUGAGACACGGCCCAAACUCCUACGGGAGGCAGCAGUGGGGAAUCUUGCGCAAUGGGCGAAAGCCUGACGCAGCCAUGCCGCGUGGAUGAUGAAGGUCUUAGGAUUGUAAAAUCCUUUCACCGGUGAAGAUAAUGACUGUAGCCGGAGAAGAAGCCCCGGCUAACUUCGUGCCAGCCGCCGCAGAAAUAC
rnacentral:rRNA from 1 species